GACGAACGCUGGCGGCGUGCUUAACACAUGCAAGUCGAGCGGUAAGGCCCUUUCGGGGGUACACGAGCGGCGAACGGGUGAGUAACACGUGGGUGACCUGCCCUCAGCUCUGGGAUAAGCCUGGGAAACCGGGUCUAAUACUGGAUAUGACUCCAUGACGCAUGUUGUGGUGUGGAAAGCCUUGUGCGGCUGAGGAUGGGCCCGCGGCCUAUCAGCUUGUUGGUGGGGNGAUGGCCUACCAAGGCGACGACGGGUAGCCGGCCUGAGAGGGCGACCGGCCACACUGGGACUGAGACACGGCCCAGACUCCUACGGGAGGCAGCAGUGGGGAAUCUUGCGCAAUGGGCGAAAGCCUGACGCAGCGACGCCGCGUGAGGGAUGACGGCCU
rnacentral:rRNA from 1 species